UUAACCCUUGACUCACUCACUUCCCUCACCAUGGCCAAGUCCUGCCUCCUGUCUUCUCCCUCCUCACAACAACAAUAAUACAUAGAAGAAAAAAAAGAAAGAAAAAGAACAAAACACUUCACUCCCCCCCCCCCCCCCUCUCUCCAUUUCCAUUUCUUCUUUCUUCAGCUUCUUCUUCUUCUUCUUCUUAUUCUGUUUGUUCGUUAUAGGGUUUUCUCGAUUCCGAUUGCAAUUCCUCUUGUGUUCCUUUUGCAAUUCCUUCACCCUUACGCACGGAACCCAGCUCCUCCUCCGCGCGUGAUCUGAAGCCAAAUUAGGGUUUCCGCAUGAGUCCUCCUCCAACUGAAUCCAACGCCAUGGAAGACGGCAAGCCCAUGAAUGGCAGCGACCAAGUCGGGUCUUGCUUCGUCGAGUUCUGCAAGAAUGGGCUAGCAUUGGAAGAGAAAAGCUGUAAAGAAGCAAAGAAUCUGUUUGGUGAAACCAAGCAUAUUCUACUGUCAAAUUUUUCGUCAAUGGGGAAUGGAAUGAUAUAGAAGAACAUUAUUCCUUUUGGUUUAACGUAUAUCUUAUGAAAUUUUUUAUUUUAACUAAAUGAGUUUAUAUAAUUCUUUUUCAGUGUGAAGAAGAAGAGAGGUAUUGGUUUCCUUUCAUUUUGUACUCUGUCAAGAAAUUGAUCCAGAAAAAAUGAGAAGGGUGGGAAGGAAGACACUGAGAACAAUGGGCUUAGUUUGUGUCGUAUAUUGAGAGAAGCUAAGCUUAAAUUUUUUUAAAGAACUUCCACAGUUUGUUGUUAAAGCUGGUCCAACUUUAAGUAAUCUAUAUGGCAUAGAUUGGGAAAACAGGCUUGAGGUAUUGACUAUUUUUAAAGAACUUCCACAGUUUGUUAGUGACCAACAAUUAUGUUUGCGUCAAAUAGUAUAAUUUAGUGAUGAAGGUUUGUGUUUGGUAGAUUGUUUCUUACUUUGAGGAGUCUCUUUGAUAGAUAUGGAGGUUCUAGAGAGCUGAGAGCUCUAUUGUAUUAAUGGUUUAGGUCAGAUUGUUAUUUAUUUAUCAUGUAACUUACAUAUAAAAACUUCAAGAGGUGCUGUGUCCCAAGGCAAUGGAUCUGUAUCAAAGUUUGUUAUGGCAGAUAAAAAGAUAGAUAACAAGAUUCUUAUGGUAACAAAGAAAGAAGGAUUCCUCCAUAAAAACCAUGUUGAUGUGGAAUCGAAAAGACAACUUCUGAAGCAGCAAAUGCUCUUUGAUAAUCACCAAAGAGAUAUUCAAGAACUAAAGCAUAUAAUUCACACUGUUGCAACCUACCCUUUGGCGGGAGGGUGACACGAGGCUCACGGGUGCAUCUUCCAAGGGAGGAAAACGCGCGAAGUCGCCACCAACGUUUAUUUGAGGAAAACGUCGGAAAAGCC